rnacentral:rRNA from 1 species
ACGAACGCUGGCGGCGUGCUUAACACAUGCAGGUCGAACGGUGAAGCGCCUUCCUUUUUGGUGGGUGUGGAUGAGUGGCGAACGGGUGAGUAACACGUGAGUAACCUGCCCCCUUCUUCUGGAUAACCGCAUGAAAGUGUGGCUAAUACGGGAUAUUCUGGGUCUGUCGCAUGAUGGGUCUGGGAAAGAUAUUGUUUCGGUGGGGGAUGGGCUCGCGGCCUAUCAGCUUGUUGGUGGGGUGAUGGCCUACCAAGGCGGUGACGGGUAGCCGGCCUGAGAGGGUGGGCGGUCACACUGGGACUGAGACACGGCCCAGACUCCUACGGGAGGCAGCAGUGGGGAAUAUUGCACAAUGGGCGCAAGCCUGAUGCAGCGACGCCGCGUGAGGGAUGGAGGCCUUCGGGUUGUGAACCUCUUUCGCCAGUGAAGCAGGCCUGCCUCGUUUGUGGGUGGGUUGACGGUAGCUGGAUAAGAAGCGCCGGCUAACUACGUG